ensembl:lncRNA
AUGAACCUUUCCCCUGUUGUUGACGGACAGGCCGAGAACAGGCGAUACAGCACCCGAAGAAGUGGCAGAAAGGCUGCGCGGAUGGCUCGGGUGAGGGACGUCUUUGCCCAGAGAGGGAGCGACACUGGGAGGAGUGGAUCGCCUCCGGAGGCAAAACAGGCAGCACCGGAAGAAAUGGAAAAGCACUCAGGCGAGCCACCGUUGUCCAAGGGCCGCAGCGAAUCAGAACGCUCUCAGGUUGUUUCGGAGUCUCUGGUAGGAUGCAGCAAAUCCCUCCACGAUGUUCUGCACGAUGCGUCACCGGCAAAUGACAUCGCAUCCAACGGCGAGCCAGACAAAUGUGCGGGCAAAGAUUUGGCUGACUCGGCCACAGUGCCAGGUGGCGAGAGUGCCACGGAUACCCCAGACAAAGAAUGCAAAAAUACUGACAAGUCUGUGUGUGGAGCUGAGGGGGGAAGUCAGAAGCAACGCAAAAGUUGUAAAUCCACCAGCAACACUGCAGCCGGACCAGAUGACAGUCUUAUUUCAGGGGCGAUUAGCGAAAGCCUUGUUGGCCAGCGGGACGGCUUCACAUUUGGAACCGUGGUGGCUCCGCUGUAUCGUCAGAUGUUUGGCAGAGAAGGAAGUGAAAGCCAAAGUGCUGGCGACUGGGCAAAUCCUACACUGAACAGCGGGGACUUGACUCACACUGAGGGAAGGGAGAGUGGAUGCAGCGUUCCGACAGAUGUUAGAGGUGCUGAUGACGACGUUCGGGGGAAUGUGAUUAGCACUCCGGAAUCAGACCACGAAUGCUCAGACGCCACUCCGAAUAGUCCUCCCGCUGAGGGGGGACGGACGAGUGCGAGCGCGACAGCGGGCGACGUCCUGGUCUGUGCAGAAACUCUGCAGGAUCAGGUUGAGACCAUACAUUUAGACCAGAGAUGCUCAGCUACAUCUGAAGUUCCAAAAACUCUAUUUGGAGAUACAGAUCUACGUCCACGCGCCGAAAACAUUUCACAUCCAGACUCGCUGAGCGCACAGACACCCGCUCAGAGUUCACACCAGCGGGGAGAAGCACAGGAAGACGAUCUGGCAUGUGACCUCCACAAUGGGUCCACAGCAGAAUCAGCACAGCGGGCUCAGCUUCCAGAGCGUGUGUGUUCACAGAUUAAAACUGACACGGAUGACACAGCUCCACAAACUGGAGCUCAAGAAGUCACGGCCAGCGGAGGAACUUCAUCUCUGCCAGCCCAGCCCUCUCGGAGUGUCUGUGACGAGACAGGCCAACAAACCGGGGCUGGUGAAGAAAACGAUGAGUGUGUGAAUGGGUCGAGCGAAGAAGACGGCGAAAAUAUUACAGUAUUAACAACCAGGCCACCUCCAGGGGUGGAUACGCUUUUAGAACCUUUAAAUCUUAACCAAAUCCAUCAACCAGCUCCAAAAGAAACUGUGAAUAUCUUCAUUUCUAGAGGUGAAAUUGCAGAUGGAAGGACGGGUAAUGUGGAAGAACGAAAUAAGUUGACUAACAGCUCGCAUGAUGAUGAGACAAAACAUUCAGCAGAAACUGAAGUUAGUGACGAGGAUGACGAGUGGAUGACAAAAGCGAUGGGACGUGAAAAUCUGCUAGGAGAUGAUGACUUGUCCGCGGAGGUGAAAGAUGCAGACACUUUAAAAGAUGGACCGAUGUCAGUGGUCUUCCAACAGGAGCGCUUGAUCUCAGACACUGCUGAGGCGAAAGACUGGGAAAUGAUGGUGGAAGAGGAGGAGAGGAAAAUAUUAAAGGAUCAGGAUGAAAGCGAGGCCAUACGUUUAAAAGAAGACACCGAAACAGAGCAAGGAGGACAGUCGGAGGAAGCAGGGACAGAGACAGCGUUGGAAAACAGAAACCCAACGGAGAGGGGGAAAGCAAAAACACAAGGAGAACUAUUUGAGGAGCUCACAGCUGCAGGAGAGAACGGGACAGAGGCCGGAGAUACUGUCGACAGAGUCGGAGAGGAGGAAAUUUGGGAGGUGGUGGUUGGAAUAUAUCGGGAGAAAGAAUUAGAAUAUGUGAAAACUGAAGAGGAAGAAGAAGAUAAGGAGAUUGAAGAGAAGAGAGAGGAAAAAAAGGUCAAUGUUGGCAGGACCAAUGUCCAAGAAGAGGAGGAGAUAGGAGGGGAGGAAGAAAUGGAUAUCUAUUUGGACAAUGGAGAUGUAGUGAUGUUGGGAGAUCAAGAAAUGCCAAGGGAGGAAAACCUAGAAGAGGAGAAUCCAGAUUACAAGGAGGAGAUUGUAGUUGAUGAAGCAGAAGACUCAGAGAGCAUGACAAUAGAGGACGGGGAAGAUGAAGUGCCGUGUUUUGAAGAGAGGAUAGAUAUUACACAAAACAAGGUCGAGGAUGGUUUAUCUGCUCCGAUGAACAGUGUGAAGGACAAGAGAGGAAAUGAACAGCGGGGAAAUGCACACACUCCAACUGAAAUUGAUCUUUGCGAAGUGGAGAAUCUCGCACCUGACCGAUCACAGGCCGAGACUGUUGUUUCCUCCGCUGCACAGGGAGAUUCGUGCAUUUCAACAGGUGAACCCGAAAGUGACCCAACGGGUCACGACUGCGCGUCGGCAGAGUCCGACUCAGACGACGAGGUGGAGUUGUACAUGCACUGUCUGAGGGCCGUCCAGGCUGGGGAGCGGGCCACCAAAGGCAGAAACAAGGACGCGGGUUUUAGUGCGGGCAAGAGGCCCUCGGCAAGCAGGGGCAAACUGCUGCCCCCACCCAUGCCUUCCAUCAGCGAGUCUCUGGAUGAAGAACCACACCUCAGCUGCCCUCAGGACAAUCAUGAGGAAGUGAACAUAGCAGACGUCCAACCCGCGGCUGCGGCUCCGUCACUGUCAAGUGGAGAGGAGAGCGUCCGCAGACAUGUUCCCCGGUUUUCCUGCAGCAAUAUCGCAAAAACUUUGUUGUACACCACCUUGGUUGCGGUAUUUUUAAUCGUGGCUUACCAUUAUGAUUUCCUUGCCUGUUUUGGCCUCUACUUGAUAUCGGUGGGUUGGCUCUGCUGUCAAGGGAGAGAGACAACCAGGGAAGAACAACAACAGAGUAAAGUGAAAUAA